ensembl:snRNA U6 U6 spliceosomal RNA
GUGCUUACUUUGCAGCACAUACUAAAAUUGUAAUGAUGCAGAGAAGAUUAACAGGGCCCCGUACAAAGAUUAUACAAACUCAUCAAACAUCCCAUAGAAUGUA